GACGAACGCUGGCGGCGUGCCUAAUACAUGCAAGUCGAGCGCAGGAAGCUGACGGAACUCUUCGGCGGGAAGGCAGUGGAAUGAGCGGCGGACGGGUGAGUAACACGUAAGGAACCUGCCUCAAGGAUUGGGAUAACUCCGAGAAAUCGGAGCUAAUACCGGAUAGUUCAAAGGACCGCAUGGUCCGCUGAUGAAAGGCGCUUCGGCGUCACCUUGAGAUGGCCUUGCGGUGCAUUAGCUAGUUGGCGGGGUAACGGUCCACCACGGCGACGAGGCAUAGCCGACCUCGGAGAGUGAUCGGCACCACUGGGACUGAGACACGGCCCAGACUCCUACGGGGGGCAGCAGUAGGGAAGCUUCCACAAUGGGCGAAAGUCUGAUGGAGCAACGCCGCGUGAGUGAUGAAGGUUUUCGGAUCGUAAAACUCUGUUGUAAGGGAAGAACACGUACGAGAGGGAAUGCUCGUACCUUGACGGUACCUUACGAGAAAGCCACGGCUAACUACGUGCCAGCCGCCGCAGUAACAC
rnacentral:rRNA from 1 species